GACAUAUAUUUUCUGUUACACUGUUGCCUUAGCGCUAAGAUUUCUUUGAUUUUCUGCUGUCAGCUUUACCACCCAGUGGAGAUGUCCUCAAGCGUUCACCAUUGCUGCCUUUCCUGCUAAGAAAAUAGAAUUUGCAUGUGUUUCAAUACUUUCUGGAAUCCUACCUUCCAUAUGCAGUCUAGGUCAGUAAAAUGGUGACUUUUGCCUACCAUACUGACCUAUGAUGCUGGAAACUGCAAGAGACAACUUUGUUGGUUCAGUGGUGGAAAAUUUGGCAUGGGAUAUCUGGCACAGCAAAUACACAUCUGCUUGUUAAGGUUAAAACUGUCUAUUUUUGAAAUGGUAAAGACAAGGAGUGGACACUUCUUCCUGACAUUUAAAUAAGGAUGUGUCACAGAAGAGGCAAGAACAGAAAAUUCCAACAAAGACAAAAGAAAUAAACAUCGUAAAUAUGUUGUGCUCUUUAAUGUUGGCAUCGUUUUCAGACUUGUGUUAGGUGAAAAUGAAUGUUUUUGAUCUUCUAUCAAAGGUUUACCUUGAAAAUACAGAUGAAAGAUAAACAUCAUUAGUCCACUCUGAUCUCACUUCAGUGCUCUUUUUUUCCAUGUGCCCAUCAGAUUGUCUCAUUGUUUUUGAUUUUUUUUUAAAUCUGAUUUUCUGUUUAUCUGAAUAGCUGCUAAAUUCUUUGAUCUAUUUUUGUUGGACUUGCAAGGAACUUCAGAACUUCUGUGAAAGCAAGACAGAGAGAAGCAAUGUGUUUCACCUCUACUUUUUGUUGCUUCCAUUUGGAUAUUGGGAAGUCUUUGUGUAGAGAAUAAAUGAUAUAAGGUAUAGGGUAGUGAAAUCUCAUUUAAAAUAAAU
ensembl:lncRNA